rnacentral:rRNA from 1 species
GACGAACGCUAGCGGCGUGCCUAAUACAUGCAAGUAGAACGCUGAAGAGAGGAGCUUGCUCUUCCUGGAUGAGCUGCGAACGGGUGAGUAACGCGUAGGUAACCUGCCUUGUAGCGGGGGAUAACUAUUGGAAACGAUAGCUAAUACCGCAUAACAAUGGGUGACGCAUGUCAUUUAUUUGAAAGGGGCAACUGCUCCACUACAAGAUGGACCUGCGUUGUAUUAGCUAGUAGGUGAGGUAACGGCUCACCUAGGCGACGAUACAUAGCCGACCUGAGAGGGUGAUCGGCCACACUGGGACUGAGACACGGCCCAGACUCCUACGGGAGGCAGCAGUAGGGAAUCUUCGGCAAUGGGGGCAACCCUGACCGAGCAACGCCGCGUGAGUGAAGAAGGUUUUCGGAUCGUAAAGCUCUGUUGUAAGUCAAGAACGAGUGUGAGAGUGGAAAGUUCACACUGUGACGGUAGCUUACCAGAAAGGGACGGCUAACUACGUGC